UACGGGGGGGGCAAGCGUUGUUCGGAAUUACUGGGCGUAAAGGGCUCGUAGGCGGCCAACUAAGUCAGACGUGAAAUCCCUCGGCUUAACCGGGGAACUGCGUCUGAUACUGGUUGGCUUGAGUGUGGGAGAGGGAUGCGGAAUUCCAGGUGUAGCGGUGAAAUGCGUAGAUAUCUGGAGGAACACCGGUGGCGAAGGCGGCUAUCUGGCACACAACUGACGCUGAGGCGCGAAAGCGUGGGGAUCAAACAGG
rnacentral:rRNA from 1 species